AUGGAGAAAAAGAGGGAAGAGAAGUUGAAAAAGAUUGAGAAACAGAGGAUGGAGGAGGAGAGGAACAGGGAAAAGGAGAGAAUGAAGGUGUUGGAGAUGCAGCAAAAGGCACGAGAGAAAGAAGAGAAGAGGAGGAAAGUGGAACAGAAAAGAAGAUUGAAGAUACAGCAGGAACAAGAGAAGGAGGAACAGAAAAGGCAGACAAGGAUACGAGACGAGGAUAAGAAGAGAGCAGAGCUUCAAAAAAUAAAAGAUCACGAGGCCAGGUUCAAGAUGGAGAUGGAGAAACUGUAUGAGAGAGAAGAGAGGAAUGCACAGAUUGAAAGAGAAAAGAGGCGUGCGCUGUGUCAGAAAAAAGGGCAGACACAGAGAGCAAAACAGGUGGUGGCAUACGAGGUCACAUCGUCUACAUCUGACGCCUCUGUGCGGAGGGAAGAGAGGGAGCAGCGUCCAGAGACCGCUCUGCGAAGAGAAGAACAAGGAAGAAGCAGUAGAAAUUGGCGGACGAGUCAAUGACAACUUUUGAGUAGAUUAUAAAAGAAAGGGAGCAGACAAAAGAAGAAAUGUACAAGUCAAUGCUCCUAGGUAUGUUAAUAGAUGUAAAUAAACAAAAACAAAUUAGAUUUUUUAAAGAGAAAAAACAAACAACAAAACGAGAAAAUGAGCAAAAGCAGGAAAAAAUCAUAAGGAAGCCAGGCAUGAGGGUGAAGAGGAGGAAACAUGAGAGAGGAGGAAGGGAGACCAGAGUGGUUUAUCAGGAGGGAAGUAGGAUAUAUAGAAUUCAAGUUCUGAGGACAGAAUCGGGAAGGACCAUGGGAUAAAAGGUAAAUGAGAUCAGCAGUAAAGGAGAGCUGAGUGGAUCAAAAGAAAGUUAUGGAAAACACAAGGGGUGGCAAGAUAAACAGAGACCCAGAGAAAAGAGGUGAAAACAUUUUCUAACAGUAAUAGAGAGGAGAUGGAACUAGAAUUCCAAUGUACGAAUGGCCAAAAUAACUAUCUAAAUAACUAAGGAUGAGCAGAAAAGGAGAAGACCAAGAGCACAGGAAAAAGAGCCAACAAACAUGUCAAAAAGAAAUGAAGUCUGCCUCUUCUACUUCUCUUUUAAAGUUGCUUUGGUUUCCUUUUGUCCUCUUUCUAAGCCUGUUCAAGUCUGAGAUAGAUGAGAAGAGCAGCCAAAGAAACAGAUCUGUUGAAGCAUCAAUUGGAAAGGAUGGGAGGGUUGGAGGAGGAGCACAGCUCCAUGACUACAUUAGAUUGUGGCAUAUGAGGUCACUUUAUCUGUUGAAGCAUCAAUAGGAAAGGAUGAAAGGGAGGGAGGCAGGAAGAGGAAAACACAGAAGAGCAGAUGAGGAGCACUCUAUGUUCUGCUUCCAUGUGGAUUGACAACAUUGCUUUCAGGAGCUGCUGGAGGACACCCUGGAAGAAGAGGGAGAGGGUCUAUGAUAGGCAGUUUGCCAUGGGCCAUAAAUGGGCGUUUGGGUGUUAAUUCUUCCUGCUUUAUAUCAUACAACUUUACAAUAAAAAUGAAUUGCAAGCA